rnacentral:tRNA from 1 species
GGACGAUUAGCUCAGCUGGUUAGAGCGCUACCUUGACAUGGUAGAGGUCAUAGGUUCGAGUCCUAUAUCGUCCACCA